rnacentral:lncRNA from 1 species
UCGCUCCAAUUAAGUAUAUAUAAACUCUUUUAAGCAAUUCAUCAAACACCUUGUAUGCGUGCUUUUGUGAGUUAAACCACUUUAGUAAAGGGUUAUAUCAACUCACCUCAAAAAUCCUUGAGCCAAUACGUAGGCCCCAGUCCAAUUUAUACCUGUCAAAUAAUUGAUUCUACAACAACCAGUGCAUUUGAAUUAAUUUCAAAUUUUUAACCUAAACAUGGAACUUACUAUUGAUACAGAGGAAGAAGGUAAUUAACUAUUCAAUUCUUACCUACUACUACUUUAGGAUAAUUGACAAUAGGGAAUUUUAUAUACCUGAGUUCAAGAAUUAGUGAUUUGUGAAGAACCCUAAAAUUUUUGUUGCCUGCGAAGAUAGUCUUGCUGCCUCUGUUUCUCGUUUUGUUUCUCUUUUUCGUAUGAGGCUUGCGUGAGUUUACGCUUUCUGUCUUGUUCCUAUAAGGCUUUUCAACCUUUAGAGUUUUUUGUUGUGUUUUGAUUAAGGCUUUUAAGCCUUUUGCCCCUUUUAAAAGAAAUACGUUUCUUACCAUUCCAAGGCUUUAAGCCUUUUUUAUUUAUUU